UGAAGUUUGAGUUUCAAUGCCUAUCAUACUGAUUGAAUUUAGAAGACACUCAACAAAAGUUAUUGAAUCCAAAUAUGUUUGCUAGAAGAGCUAGCCUCAGGAUGAUGGCAAAGAGAGGAGAAAGCAGACUUCCAAGUGGCUAAGAGACACGUCUAUGGCCACAUUUCUACUACACAGCAGAGUGAGCAGUCUGAUGACAAGUCCAGUGCUCUUCUGUGACAAAAUAUACUGAGAAAAGCAGUCAGAGGAAGGAAGGCCAAGGAAGUUCUGGGCAAGCCUCUACAUAAGAACCGGAAAAAGCAACCCCUUCAAAUGAAACAUGAGCCAUGCCACAAUCAACAGAUUAGAGCCGAAUCUAGCUCAGAGACAAAGCAAGAUAACAGGUUCUGGUUGACAACAGCCUGCUUCUGCCUCCACACAGUCCUGCCUCAGGAGCCCUACAUGGCUGUGUAAAUAC